CAUUUGGGCAUCUGGAGGUUUCUGAAGCAGACUUUCAGCAGCUGUGUGAGGGAAAGCUAUUCAAAUGGGAGAGGAGGAAAAAUGGAAAACUACCGACGUUGUAACAUCACAAUCAAAUAUGUAAGAACUGGAAAGAUGUGUUCAUUAUCUCCUGAGCUGUUAUCACCAUAUCAAACACAUGGGAUCACUCUGGGAUGCUUGUGUCUGUGGCCAGGCACUGCACACCCCAUUGAGGGAUGGCAGAACUCCAGCAGGUCCCCACCUGGCCCAGGAGGGGAUGAGAUGAAGAGGAGACUCUGA
rnacentral:lncRNA from 1 species